UUUGGAUGCAUCAGAUGAUUGGACCUU
rnacentral:piRNA from 1 species